UGCCAGUCUGCCUCUGAAUUCAGUAUGGGUUGCAAGUGUUUUUUGGCUCGGUUUAAGAAUUUGUCAGGUUUGCACUGGCUCCCCCGUGAUCCUGACAGAGUUAGAUUGUGGCUGCAGGCAGUGGGCUGCCCAUCAACUACCGACACAAGAUUGUUGGUGUGUAACAAGCAUUUUCCACGGGAGAGCUUUUAUAGACAUGAGGACUAUGGCGUUGCUCAUGAAGGUAUUAUCCGAAGAGAAGACACUGAGAAAAGUCUCAAAUACAUUUUGAUCCCUACAGGGCAGCCGUUUCACUUAAACUGUUGGCUAGAAAUAUUGGAAUUUUGCCCAGUGAGCGCAGGUGAAGGAGGAAGUCUAAAUAUGGUCAUUGGUGAGAUGAAUUUCUCGUGAUGUCACAAACAGCCGGGUUCUUCACACAAUCAGAUGGCAUCAGUUAAUGCACAUUACUUAUGUGAAGCAUAUAAUGUAACAGUUUUUGUUAUAUUGUUAAAUGUUAAAGUGAUGAUAAUACAUAAAGUGAAGGAUUGUACAUUGUUUUUGAGUUUGAGGGGGAAAUAAUUGAAGAGUUAAGCUAUUUUGUUGGAAAUGUAACGUUGUUCAUAAAUUGUAAUGACAUUUAGAAGAUUUAUCAUUUAUUAUGAUUUAAGAUUUCUGAAUAUUCAUAAAAAUCAAAUGUAUAAAUGGUUAUAAUUUAAAAUAUCCUUUAUUAAAUCAAGCAAUGGUUUGAAAUAAUCUGAAUCAGCAGACACAUUUUAAGGCCUCAGUAAAGAAAGCUAUCUUGUUUAUAAUAAUAAUUAGUUUUUUUGGGCCAGCUCCUAUUUAUGAAUGCUCAUAUACUGUUUCAACAUUUGAAAUCAAAUUGACUGCUACUUUAUGCUUUUGUUCUCUGUACUAGUGUAUCCUCAUUUUUGUUUUCAUUUAGGAAGCAAAAUUAAUUCCAAGAUUUUUAAUGUACCGGUAUUGUGUUCCUUAUGUUUCAGGCUACACAUAGCUUGUCUGGUGUUUUCUUAUGUGUAUGUCUUAUCAACAUCAAUGUUUAAAAGGUUUUUGGAAACCCUGUAUUACAAAUAGGCUUGUUUUAAAUAAAAACUGACUUGAUCUCA